rnacentral:piRNA from 1 species
CAGGAGAGGCAGCAUUGCUUUUGCGUC